rnacentral:rRNA from 1 species
CUACGUGCCAGCAGCCGCGGUAAUACGGAAGGUCCAGGCGUUAUCCGGAUUUAUUGGGUUUAAAGGGAGCGUAGGCUGGAGAUUAAGUGUGUUGUGAAAUGUAGACGCUCAACGUCUGAAUUGCAGCGCAUACUGGUUUCCUUGAGUACGCACAACGUUGGCGGAAUUCGUCGUGUAGCGGUGAAAUGCUUAGAUAUGACGAAGAACUCCGAUUGCGAAGGCAGCUGACGGGAGCGCAACUGACGCUUAAGCUCGAAGGUGCGGGUAUCAAACAGGAUUAGAUACCCUGGUAGUCCGCACAGUAAACGAUGGAUGCCCGCUGUUGGUACCUGGUAUCAGCGGCUAAGCGAAAGCAUUAAGCAUCCCACCUGGGGAGUACGCCGGCAACGGUGAAACUCAAAGGAAUUGACGGGGGCCCGCACAAGCGGUGGAGCAUGUGGUUUAAUUCGAAGCAACGCGAAGAACCUUACCAGGUCUUGACAUCCCUCUGACCGCUCUAGAGAUAGAGUUUUCC